rnacentral:rRNA from 1 species
AUACGUAGGUGACAAGCGUUAUCCGGAUUUACUGGGUGUAAAGGGCGUGUAGGCGGUUUAGCAAGUCAGAAGUGAAAUUCCCGGGCUUAACUUGGGCGCUGCUUCUGAAACUGCUUUACUUGAGUGCUGGAGAGGAUAGUGGAAUUCCUAGUGUAGCGGUAAAAUGCGCAGAUAUUAGGAGGAACACCGGUGGCGAAGGCGGCUAUCUGGACAGUAACUGACGCUGAGGCGCGAAAGUGUGGGGAGCAAACAGGAUUAGAUACCCUGGUAGUCCACACUGUAAACGAUGAAUGCUAGGUGUAGGGGGUAUCGACCCCUUCUGUGCCGCAGUCAACACAAUAAGCAUUCCGCCUGGGGAGUACGGCCGCAAGGUUGAAACUCAAAUGAAUUGGCGGGG